CCUACGGGAGGCAGCAGUGGGGAAUCUUGCGCAAUGGGCGAAAGCCUGACGCAGCCAUGCCGCGUGAAUGAUGAAGGUCUUAGGAUUGUAAAAUUCUUUCACCGGGGACGAUAAUGACGGUACCCGGAGAAGAAGCCCCGGCUAACUUCGUGCCAGCAGCCGCGGUAAUACGAAGGGGGCUAGCGUUGCUCGGAAUUACUGGGCGUAAAGGGAGCGUAGGCGGAUAGUUUAGUCAGAGGUGAAAGCCCAGGGCUCAACCUUGGAAUUGCCUUUGAUACUGGCUAUCUUGAGUAUAGGAGAGGUAUGCGGAACUCCGAGUGUAGAGGUGAAAUUCGUAGAUAUUCGGAAGAACACCAGUGGCGAAGGCGGCAUACUGGCCCAUUACUGACGCUGAGGCUCGAAAGCGUGGGGAGCAAACAGGAUUAGAUACCCUGGUAGUCCACGCUGUAAACGAUGAGUGCUAGUUGUCGGCAUGCAUNCAUGUCGGUGACGCAGCUACGACAUAAGACACUCCGCCGUGGGAGGUACGGUCGCGAGAAGUUAAACGUUAAACGUAGAGUAGACGGCGUGAGAGUGCCGACGGACGACGACGAGGGAGGAGG
rnacentral:rRNA from 1 species